GGCCCGGGCCGUUGGAGGUCAGGCUGCUAUUGGCUGCUUGGCCGGGUGGCAGCUGGCUCGGCCAAUGAGGAUUGACUGCACCGCCCCUGCCGUCUCACCGGUACCGGGAGAAGAGGGCCUCGUAAAUUGGGCUGUUGCUAAUGCCCUUCGGCUGUGUGUUGCUUCCCUGACUCCCACUGCGAUAGAGACAUGCAUUCAUGCAUGGAAAUCCAGGGCCGCCGUCCUUAAACACAUACACAAAAUAUUUUUUUCUUUCGUUCCCUACUAAUGAAAGGAUCUGUUUCCUGGUCAGCAUCAUGCUACAGGCCAAAUGUGCUGAAAUAAUGAGGGAUGAUAUUUGGCAUAAUGAGGGGAUGGUAUUCAAACCUGAACAUUUACAAGAACAUUGCAUGACAGUUCCAGCCCAAAUUUGCCAAACCAACAAGCAUUUGUCUCAAGUUCUAAAAAACAUGCAAAAUACUGAUGGUUUCCUGAGGAGGAAGGAAGAUUUGAUGUAGGUGGUAUUGAGAAAUAUAACUGCUUUUGAAAAAAAUGGGAUUCCACGGAACAUACGGAAAUGGGGACUGAGUAAAUGUUGCAUUUACUAACAAUAGUCCUAUUUGGUAAUGACAUAUUCUUUCCAGAAGAGUGGCAAAAUUAAACUGGAUGAAACACUGAGGAAAAUAUCAGAGGAAACAAUAAUGUAUUAGCAAAAAGGACAAGAUGAUCUACCCAGCGGACACUUCCAAUUGUUACGAUUCAAAUUAGAGCCUGCUGUAACUGAGAAUGUCUGGAGUCAUUGUGUUCCUUUAAAAGAAGCAUAGAUGCUGCUAAUUAUGAGAAUUGUCAAGAAAUACUACAUUCACUGAAAAUCUUGGACUUUUCUUUUUUGAUGUUUUUGAAGGGUAAUGCAGAUGUUUCUCCAUUCAAAGCUUCAUUUAUUUUCAUGUGAA